rnacentral:misc_RNA from 1 species
GAUGAAGAACGUAGCGAAAUGCGAUAAGUAGUGUGAAUUGCAGAAUUCAGUGAAUCAUCGAAUCUUUGAACGCACAUUGCGCCCCUUGGUAUUCCAUGGGGCAUGCCUGUUCGAGCGUCAUUUGUACCUUCAAGCUCUGCUUGGUGUUGGGUGUUUGCCUCGCCUCUGCGUGUAGACUCGCCUCAAAACAAUUGGCAGCCGGCGUAUUGAUUUCGGAGCGCAGUACAUCUCGCGCUUUGCACUCAUAACGACGACGUCCAAAAGUACAUUUUUACACUCUUGACCUCGGAUCAGGUAGGGAUACCCGCUGAACUUAAGCAUAUCAAUAAGCGGAGGA